GUAAAGAAUAUAGAUAUUCGUAUAUUCUCCUGACCUUCGGCUCUCCGAAGUGGGAUCAAAAUAUCAAUAUAUCAUCAUCGUUGGGGCUACGACACGAAACUGUUUUCUUUGCUUUACGCUCUAAUACUCUCUAUAUAUUAGCUUUCGCCCGUCACUCUCUCUUUAAGUUUUCUUUUUAUUUCCAGGCACAAGGGUUUCGAAGUUCUCAACAUCAAAUCUCUAGAGCUACGAAUUCGUCCCUGAAAUGUGCUGAAAUUUGCAGUGUCAUCUGUAAAUACAUUGCUUUCGCGAAUCCUGUCGCUUUUUCUCUAGAGCGCUAGAAGGCCAAGGCCUCUGUUUUCUUUCGCAGUUUUUACAGUGCUGUAAAAUUGGACCUGUUCAUUACAGCUUAUAAGUAGAGAUCAAGCUGAUGGGGUGUGACUAGUAUCGGGGGAACUACUUCAAGGUCUAUUUAGUUUUUCCCCAAAGACCAGAAAGAAGAUGAUGAUUUUUCCUGCAGCAUUUUUGGUAUUGUCUCACCAGUAAUCUUUGUCCACGCUGCUGCCAGGAAGCUUUUGGUGAUUUAAACCAUAAUGCCUGGCCUGGCUGUUCCACACUUUCUUGACCUACUACAGAUUUUGGUGAUUCAAACCAUGGAGUUCACUGUAAUUUCUGGAGUCUUGGGGGUUAUCUUAUCUGGAUGGUACCCCUUUUCCUGUGUUGUGCAUACCAAACUUGUUGUGUUGGUGCCUUGAAUUUGACCCGAGAAAAACUUGAAGACAAUUUUAUAGUGGUCUGUGGUGGAAGCAAAAGACUUCAGUGCAAAGGUAUCACAAUUGAGUUAGUUGCACUUGGAUAUUGCAAUCUCAGAUAGGCAGAUAUCGCAAGUAUCAGGUAUCAUACACAGGUGGAUAAUGCAAGUAUCCAGGGUCACAGACCACUUGGAUAUUGCAUCACAUAUCAGGUGGAUCCGCAAAUCGUCUGGAAUCUGGACUCGCAAUAGCCUGGUGUCACAGCCUAAGACUCACAGUGAGAUCUCAUGAGAUUCGCGAGAUCUGGUUCUUAGUAGUUUUGUGGGGCUGACCCGGUUUAGGGUUUUCUCAUUUAAAUAAUCUUGUAUCAUCUCGUAUAUUGUAUCUUGGGGGAUAGGAAAAGAGGGCAAGAGAGUGUAAGAAACAGGGGAGAGGGAACUUCAGGUGUUUUGAGAGUUAGGGUUUUGGUGGGAGGCUAUGAACACUGUAUCUGUAAAUCUCCAUUGUUCUUUAUUUUUUGCUAAAUAAAUUUAACUAAAUUAGCAAAAAACAGAAACAUAGGGUUCAAUACAAAUUGGAGGGCUGUCCCAACUCCCACACUACAAAAAAUACAUCAAGGAAUUUAACUAGUUGAGCUAAGGAAUGGGCAGCCCAUUGUUCAUUAGUGGAUUUCUUCUCUUUGGAGACCCUCGUGGACGUAAGCUGUAA